CCUCCGGGUGGCAGCAGUGAGGAAUAUUGGUCAAUGGGCGUAAGCCUGAACCAGCCAAGUCGCGUGAGGGAUGAAGGUUCUAUGGAUCGUAAACCUCUUUUAUAAGGGAAUAAAGUGUGGGACGUGUCCUGUUUUGUAUGUACCUUAUGAAUAAGGAUCGGCUAACUCCGUGCCAGCAGCCGCGGUAAUACGGAGGAUCCGAGCGUUAUCCGGAUUUAUUGGGUUUAAAGGGUGCGUAGGCGGCCUUUUAAGUCAGCGGUGAAAGGCUCGGGCUCAACCAUAGACUUGCCGUUGAAACUGGGUGUCUUGAGUAGGUUUGAGGCAGGCGGAAUGCGUGGUGUAGCGGUGAAAUGCUUAGAUAUCACGCAGAACCCCGAUUGCGAAGGCAGCCUGCCAGGCCAUGACUGACGCUGAUGCACGAAAGCGUGGGGAUCGAACAGGAUUAGAUACCCCAGUAGUC
rnacentral:rRNA from 1 species